rnacentral:tRNA from 1 species
GUGGUGGCUCAGUGGUAGAGCGCUUGCCUAGCAUGCAUGAGGCACUGGGUUCAAUCCCUAGCACCACA